UUAAAAAAAAGGUUGCAAACCAUGGGUUGGCCUGGGGGGUGAAGAAAGAGGAAUUGCUUCACGUUGGUUUCUCCGUCUUUGUUGGAGAGAGAGAGAGAGAGAAACCCAAGUGUUCUUUGAUCCGACCAACAACACACACACACCCCAUUUUGGAAACCAUCAUUUGCGUUACAAUGUCUGUAAUGAACAAAGCGAUCUCUCUACUCCAAGUCAAACAAUCCUCAGAUCUCUCUAAUGGCUCAACCUGUCCUUCCAUCUCCUUCCUCCUCCUCAACUCUUCCCAAAUCUACCUUAACACUGAAAUCAGUGGAAAUUGGGCAGACCCAAUUGGGAUUGAUUGUACCUUUCAAAGGUAGUUCGGCGUUGAGAUUGAAGGCCUCAAAGGAGUCACCGGGACUGACUGAGGGACUCACAAAUAACAAACAAAAGAGCUGCUUAGCAGGAACUCAAAAUGGGUCUGAUCUCUUCAAUGAAAUGAAACAUCGGUUUCUAAGUUUCAAAAAGCAUAAAUUCUUGAAAAACUUAGAAUGCUUUCAAAAUCUUGCUAAGGUUCAGGCACCAAAGUUCAUGGUGAUUGCUUGUGCAGACUCCAGGGUUUGUCCCUCCUACAUCCUAGGGUUUCAACCAGGAGAAGCCUUUGUAGUCCGCAAUGUGGCGAAUCUGGUGCCUCCAUUUGAGAAUGGGCCAUCAGAAACAAAUGCUGCCCUUGAAUUUUCCGUCAAUUCUCUAGAGGUUGAAAAUAUACUAGUCAUUGGUCACAGUUGCUGUGGAGGUAUUCGUGCCCUCAUGAGUGUGCAAGAUAAAGUAAAUUCAAGCUUUAUUCAAAGUUGGGUAGUUGUUGGGUAGUUGUUGGGAAGAAUGCAAGGUUAAGCACGAAGGCUGCUGCUUCCAACCUAAACUUUGAUCAGCAAUGCAGACACUGUGAGAAGGAAUCAAUAAACCGGUCAUUGGUGAACUUGCUUACUUAUCCAUGGAUAGAAGAAAGGGUGACAAAAGGGGUGCUUUCCAUUCAUGGCGGUUACUAUGACUUUGUUGAUUGUACUUUGGAGAAAUGGACACUUGAUUACCAGGAAAGUAGAUGGAGGAAUAGAAGCGGCAUAUACUCUCUCAAAAACAGAGAAUUUUGGUGUUGAUAAUGCCCUUACUAGUUUUCUGAUUUUUUUGAUUUUUGAUUUUUUUAUUUUUUUUUGGGAUGAAUUAUAUGUAACGAGUAUUCUUCAAGUUUAGGAUUGUUUAAAACCUUAGAACUAACUAAAAAAACAAUCCUAAUCCCUCAACCUUGGCAAAAGUUCUGCUAAUUUUUAUGUGUUCCAAUGAAAUGCUCAGAUGUGUCAUGGGCUUAUAGUGUUACGCCUGGUUUUCAA